rnacentral:rRNA from 1 species
UGACGAGCGGCGGACGGGUGAGUAAUGUCUGGGAAACUGCCUGAUGGAGGGGGAUAACUACUGGAAACGGUAGCUAAUACCGCAUAACGUCGCAAGACCAAAGUGGGGGACCUUCGGGCCUCAUGCCAUCAGAUGUGCCCAGAUGGGAUUAGCUAGUAGGUGGGGUAAUGGCUCACCUAGGCGACGAUCCCUAGCUGGUCUGAGAGGAUGACCAGCCACACUGGAACUGAGACACGGUCCAGACUCCUACGGGAGGCAGCAGUG